UGCGGAGUCCCCGCCCUGCGUAGUGCGU
rnacentral:piRNA from 1 species